GGCGGGGCUGCACCCACCCCACACCCUAGCACUGACUCCUGUCCUCAAUUCUCUUCUCUGUCCUCCCUCCUUUGCCGGCCCCCACCCUUUUCUUGUACAUCCAUGUUCUGCUGCGGUGUGUGGGAGAGAGGACAGUUGUGGUUUUAAUUACGACAGGCUCCUUCAGGAGGUGGAAUUAUAUCACCAUUAUGAUGCUUUCAACCUUGAGAAGCCUUGGAAAACCAAGGCUAAUCACCCUGAUGUAGUCCACGGCUGAAAUCUCCAGGUCAUAUGACAAUAAGGACAGGUAAAGGUGACUGUGGUGUAGAAAUCGCCCUUCAGUCUGGGGCCCUAUUCUGUCAUCUGCCCUACCAACAUUCUUGAAGUUUUUUUGCAAAACCUUCGCUGUCCUGUGCAGGAGUUGUGUGUCUGGGUGUACCCAGACUGGGUGUAUUUUUGUGGGUGUAUGUGUUUUAGAAAUUUUUCACCUCAAUAACAAAGAGGUGUGUAGCCAGGAGGUUUCUGAAAUGUAUCAUGGAUGGAGACAACCCUCCGCCAAUGCCCUGGUUCUUCUGCUGAGGUGAGUCCGGAUGACCUUGUCACCCGCUUCGAGAGGAUAUUUGUAAGAACCAGACACAGAGCACAUGUGGGGAGCGAGUGUUGGAGGAGGCCCAGAGCAGAUGGGAAGAGGCAGACGGGGAACCUCCCUCUGCAGCGGUGUCACUGAAGACCUGCCUGGAGCUGUCGUCUUCUCCUAGUUGGUCUUUGACAGAGAGGUGUUCCCUGGCCAGCGUCUGCAUCAACACACACAUUUCAUUUCUGGAAAUCCCCCCUCCAGCCCACCCCCCUCCAAAAGUCCAAAGCUCAAUCCCAUGAUCUUUGAAAGGAAGGAAGGAAGGGAAAAUCUGUUGGGCCUGGCUAAACAGAGAGUGGGAAGAAGGUGACCCUGGGGACACAUUCUUGUGAGGGGAAGGACAGAGCUGGUUAGAUGGGGUCUGCCUGGAGGCAUAGUGAGCUCAGGCUGCCAUCACAAGACACCACAGCCCGGUGGCUUACAUAAUAGAAGUAUGUUCCUCGCAGCUCUGGAAGCCGGGUGCCUGAGACCACAGUGCCAGCACGGUUGGGUCCUGGCUUGCAGAUGGUCACCUUCUCACUGUCCUAACAUGGCCUUUCCUAGCUGUGUGUGCCUGGAGACAGGGAGCGAUUUUGGCCUUCCUCUCCCAAGGGCACUGUCUCAGUCCAUUUGGAUGCUACAGUGAAAUGCUAGAUAAUUUAUAAAGAGCAGAAAUGUGCUGCUCAUAAUUGUAG
rnacentral:lncRNA from 1 species